GAGGUGUAAAGAUCCCCAGCCUCUUCCUCCAACCAACCUGUGAAGCUUUGGUACUUCGCGAUGGAGAGGCUCGUGCAGGCGCCUCCUUUCCUCCUAGCCCGGGGCCAGCCGGCGGACCUCCCCUCCCCCGGCCCCAACUUGUCCCCUCCACCCCACCGUCUCUACCUGGGCUCCUCCUCCUCCUGCCGUCGCCGCCGCCGCCCUCCAUCCUCACUCCCAUGCUCUUGACCUGGCCCCGCCGGCUCCUUCUCUGCCAGCGAGCCACAAGCGGCCCGCACCGGCGCUUUCCGUCCGUCCGUCCCCCUGCCCGCCCUUCUUCCCUUGUCUCUCUCCGGGCGGGCAAGGGGCGGGCCUGGCAGCCGGCAAGGUUGCUAUGGACACCAUCGCUCGCUUCGCGGCGGCCACCGCUGGGAGCAUUGCGUCCUGGGACCGGGGAAGGCAAGGAAGGGGCGGGGGAAGGUGGACGGAGACCUACGCGGAUCUUGCGCGGGAGUUAAAACCCACCGACGGAGUAGGUCUUACUCCCUGGUGAAGGUGGGCAGAAUUGCCCCCGGAGAGGGUGAAAAUUUGGGGAAGGGACAGCGGCGCAAACUUUUCUCAGAAGUCAGGCCCACCGUUGUCCAAAGGCGCGUAAUUCCUAGAAAUUCAUUGGAUACUGUAUUCAAUUCAUAUUGAGAGCCGUUUUUAUAGUCUUCCUGUGCUUGUGGAGAUGUAGCAAAAACAACACCUGUGCACGUGAGGCAUGUAGCAGUAGAUUUACAGUCUCUUUAGGAGGGAGAUGCUGGUUCUGUAACUGGGCUUUUAACUCUCGGAAACCUUUUGCUGAACAUCUGCCAAAUGAAGAGGUGGAACUGUGUGACAAAAUGAUCUCCUAGGCAUAAAUCCUUGCUGGACCCACAGCAGAUGAAAUGGUAAACCUGUUUCUGACCGGUACCACUUUGGACUACAGAGGAAAUGCUAUUUCAUGAAAAUCAGUUCUUGCUGAAGGCUUUAUCAAUUAAGCAACUCAAAAAUGGAAGCAUCCGACUUCAUUCAUCACUCCUAAAUGGUUUCACCAGGCUGCUCCUAAUGUAAAAUGACAGAAAAUUCUCCACACUAUGUUCCAGGAAUCUGAGCAAAGGAGAACUAUGCAUAUAGCUGUCCAAGGUCCUGAAAUACAUCCCACUAUACUGGUUGUCAUUUCAAUUUAUCUGCAUUGGAUUUCUUUCAUAAUGCUCAUGGAAUUAAUGGACUGGAAGCAAAAGCUGAAACAUUGAGUUGGGAGCUACCUCAAUCUACUAAGGUGUUUUGAAAUUUGUAGGUGAUUGGGGUGAAUUUUUAAAAGAAAGAAUAUGAAUGGAACAACUUUUGCACUUCUAAAUAUCAUUAGCCUUUGCUUUUCCAGGGACAGCUAACAUCUAUAGAAUAUCUGCAGAAUAGGCUUUGUGUUCAAAUUCCAGCAGCUCAUAGUACAUAGCUGAAACCUGUUAAUGUCAGUAUAGACAAAUUCAUAUAUUGUGUCAUGCAAUAUUCUUGUAAAUUGCAUUAAUAAGAAAUAAUGUAAUAUGGUGACCUACAAAGUUGGAUAUAGUAAACAAG